CUAUCUGAUUCUAAGUCAAGGGGUGGUUGGUUGUAUGACUUAGGAUACGGUAGAUAGGUUCACAUCUUUUUAUGAUUAUAUUGACUGAGGUUUAUCUAAGUUCUAGGAACCAAGCCAAGCAUUGUAGAAUCGAUCCGUUCUAUUCUCGGUUAUGAUUAAUGCUUAUCUGGUUGUGGUUUCAAGAACUAAGGAUGGUUCUGGUCAAGCCAAGGAGCCGUGAAGGCU
rnacentral:lncRNA from 1 species